rnacentral:sRNA from 1 species
UUUUUUUUUGGUUAUGUUGAUUUAGAGGUUGAUGAUGUGCUUCCAAGAUGUUAGUUUGUAGCUUCUACUAUUGUACACCAAUAUGGCGAAAAGGAAAAUUGAUGCGGUUGAUGAGAGACUGAAAGUCUGAAAUUGUACACGAGGGGAAGAUUUUUCCCCAAAGAUGCAAUAUGCACAGAUCCUCUUGUUAG